CCCUGAGUCCUCCCAGGAAUCUGCAGUUCUCAGACAUCACUCAUAACUCGGCCCACAUCAGCUGGGAUCCACCGCCCAGUGAAGUUAAAGGUUACCGCAUCAUGUGGGUCAUGACAGACGGACUGAUUACAAAGGAGGUGAAGGUGGGCCCGGUUUAACUCUUACGACCUCAGUGAGCUGACGUCUCUGAAGAGAGUACUCGGUGGCCAUCUUUGCUCUGUACGGCGAGGGGCAGUCGGAGCCGCUCACUGAUGCCUUUACAACCACUCCGGUUCCUGGUCCUCUAAAUCUGCGCUCCAGUGAUGUCAACACAGACAGCUUUAAGGUCAGCUGGGAUCACUCAGCCGCAGACAUUGUUCUCUACAGACUCUCCUGGGUGCCGUUCUCUGGUGGUGACGUAAAGGAGGUCAUUUUGAGUGGAAGGGAAAACAGCUACACCCUGAGCAAGCUCGAUCCCUCCACUGAAUAUGAAGUCCUGUUAACGGCCAUAUUAAAAGAUGAAUCUGAGAGUGACACAGUCUCUGUCAUAGAAACCACGAUGGCCUUAACAACAACAAUUCCAACCACGACCACAGGUAAGAAAUGUCAAAGGUGAAUCUAUGUGUUAUUGCAAA